rnacentral:rRNA from 1 species
UACGUAGGGGGCUAGCGUUGUCCGGAAUCAUUGGGCGUAAAGAGCGUGUAGGCGGCCCGGUAAGUCCGCUGUGAAAGUCGGGGGCUCAACCCUCGAAUGCCGGUGGAUACUGUCGGGCUAGAGUGCGGAAGAGGCGAGUGGAAUCCUGGUGUAGCGGUGGAAUGCGCAGAUAUCAGGAGGAACACCAAUAGCGAAGGCAGCUCGCUGGGACGGUACUGACGCUGAGGCGCGAAAGCGUGGGGGAGCGAACAGG